CGCCCCCGCGGAACCGUUCACGCUCGCGCGUUUCCCAUCAGCUUUUCAAACUUAGUUCUAAAGCUUCUCUCCUAACGCUCCAUCGAACCGUUCAAACGAUUGACUGCGAGCUCGGGAGGGGCGUAGCGUGUGUGUGUGCAACCCCCUCCGACUGAUAGGAAACGUGGACUGCGCUCUCCCCUCGGUUACUUGCAUCAUCCGCCUGCAAUGGGCUGUAAUUCAUUGACUGACUUGCCCCAUUAAUUUUCCUGGGACUACUCUUGAGUAAUUAGCCUGCCUGCAGGUCAAGAACAGGCUGUUUUUGUGUAUUAGGGUGGAGCAGCCCCCUGCAGUUUGUUACACACUAUGCUUUUCCUGUGGCACUCACCAAUAGUUUGAGAGGAUAAAAGCAUCAUUUAAUCAUUUUUAUUUAAAAAAAGAUCCUUUUCUGCACCCUGGUUUUCAGGUCUGGAAGCACUGCAGCCCCCAAAAAAGCUGGCUCUGUAUUGGUUUUUCCACAAAGUAUUUAAUUUAUUCAAGCUGAAUUUUGCAUUAUGAGGAUACUAAUGGAAGCAGCCAGACAUCAAAGUACUGUAUUAGUUUUCAAAUUCAGUAAAAUCCUCCUUUUAGCAUGCAGCCUGCAGAGAAGUAGGGGAGCAGAAGAAAGGCUACAGCUAACACUGACAAAAUCCUCAGAUUUUAUUCAAAUUGGGUUCACCCCUGCUUGCUGGGACACAUUAACCACCCUCACUACAUUUAAGUGUGUUCUUCUGAAAAACCCAAUUACUCUCAGCUGAAGUAAAAGGGAAUUGAUGAACACCCACUUGUAUAAACUUGCAGCACCUAUGAAGGAAUACCUUGUCACAGUCAAGCAUUUUUUUUUAAAGCUCUACUUCACCCAACACUGUCCUUAGAAAGAAAUGGAAUUUUAGGUAGUUUAAAUGUGUUUACUACACAGACCUUCACUCUGCAGCUGCAAUCUGCUAAACGACCAGUUUUAGCCAACAAAAUCCAAGUGCCGAAGAACAAACUAGGACAGCCCUUGUGUAGGACUUAAACCAUAUUAUCCUCUUCAGUGAACACAUUUCCAGCAGCCAUUUAGCUUUGAAAAACUGAGUACAUGUUUUGAGUCCUGUCUUGCAACCAAACCAUUUCACUUACUCAUGGCCAGCUGGGAUCUCUUCAAGAGGACCUGAUAACUAAGUUACAAUUAUACUUUGUGUCUAGACUGAUACCUGCAGGUGUCACUCUUGAAAGACUACAGCAUUUUGAGAAGUUAUAUGUGAAGACAACCUGGGUUUCAAAUGACCACUAAUUUAAAACUGCAGUUUAUUUGUAUCCAUAUCCCACCCUUCCUCCAAAGAACUUAGGUCAAUGUACAUAGGAUACCAGUUUUUGUCUUCAGUCACCUUCUAAGCUCUCUCCAAGGAUAUAAAAGAACGGAUGGCAAAAAUUAACACAAGAUUAAUAAUGGAUUAAACCACGGACAGGAGCACGACUUACCGACAACCACAUCCAAAGAAACGAGCCAAGAGAAAGAGGAAACGCCGGGUAGGCGGCCCAGGAAAUACCAGCACAAGUCCUGCUAUUGGCUGAAAAGACAAGCCAAUCACUGCUGUGGCUCGAGUACGUUAAUACGGGCGUUAACGUAUUAGGAAUAAGGGCAAGCUUGUUGCAUUGCUCUCCAGGUUUAAACUACUGUGCCUUAGCUAUAUGUCGUUUAUUAACGCUUGCAUUUUGCGGCGAAGUGUCCUUUGCAAAUUGUGGGAUAUAUUUGUUUUCUCUUUCUAGUUCAGUUAUUCCGCCUUUAUUACCAAUGUAUGAAUUCAAUAUAAUGGGGUGUGGUAGAAAGA